UACGGAGGAUGCGAGCGUUAUCCGGAUUUAUUGGGUUUAAAGGGUGCGUAGGCGGGAUGCCAAGUCAGCGGUAAAAAUGCGGUGCUCAACGCCGUCGAGCCGUUGAAACUGGCGUUCUUGAGUGGGCGAGAAGUAUGCGGAAUGCGUGGUGUAGCGGUGAAAUGCAUAGAUAUCACGCAGAACUCCGAUUGCGAAGGCAGCAUACCGGCACCCUACUGACGCUGAGGCACGAAAGCGUGGGUAUCGAACAGG
rnacentral:rRNA from 1 species